GUCUGGACCACGGUUAUGGUACACCGUCAAUGUGCUGUAGCGGUCGUAAGAAAGAACCACCAAGGAUAUCAGAGAUACGAUGCCUGAGAGAGAAGACAAAGAGGACAAACACUUCAACACUGAGGCAAUGAAGCAUCAAGAAAGACAUGAGCAGGCCAGCCACGCUGAGACUGAUAAUUCAUGGGAACAUAUUUCUCUUUGUAACAAAGUGGUUGGUGAGCAAAGGUGGCCUACAUUUUGGAGCAGCAC